UACGUAGGGGCAAGCGUUGUCCGGAUUUAUUGGGUCGUAAAGAGCUCGUAGGCGGUUUGGUAAGUCUGGAUGUGAAAUCUCCACGCUCAACGUGGAGGGGCCACCCUGAAUACUGGCCAUGACUUGGAGUCCGGUAGAGGAGUGUGGAAUUCCGGUGUAGCGGUGAAAUGCGUAGAGAUGCUGGAGGAACACCGAUGGCGAAGGCAGCCCCUGGCUAACACUGACGCUCAGGCACGAAAGCGUGGGGAGCAAACAGG
rnacentral:rRNA from 1 species